GUGGGGAAUAUUGGACAAUGGGGGCAACCCUGAUCUAGCCAUGCCGCGUGAGUGAUGAAGGCCUUAGGGUUGUAAAGCUCUUUCAGUGGGGAAGAUAAUGACGGUACCCACAGAAGAAGCCCCGGCUAACUCCGUGCCAGCAGCCGCGGUAAUACGGAGGGGGCUAGCGUUGUUCGGAAUUACUGGGCGUAAAGCGCACGUAGGCGGAUCGGAAAGUUGGGGGUGAAAUCCCAGGGCUCAACCCUGGAACUGCCUUCAAAACUAUCGGUCUGGAGUCCGAGAGAGGUGAGUGGAAUUCCGAGUGUAGAGGUGAAAUUCGUAGAUAUUCGGAGGAACACCAGUGGCGAAGGCGGCUCACUGGCUCGGUACUGACGCUGAGGUGCGAAAGCGUGGGGAGCAAACAGGAUUAGAUACCCUUGUAGUCC
rnacentral:rRNA from 1 species